UACGUAGGGGGCUAGCGUUGUCCGGAAUCAUUGGGCGUAAAGAGCGUGUAGGCGGUCCGGUAAGUCCGCUGUGAAAGUCGGGGGCUCAACCCUCGAAUGCCGGUGGAUACUGUCGGGCUAGAGUGCGGAAGAGGCGAGUGGAAUUCCUGGUGUAGCGGUGAAAUGCGCAGAUAUCAGGAGGAACACCGUAGUGCGAAAGGCAGCUCGCUGGGACGUAACUGACGCUGGAGACGACGAAAGCCGGUGGGGAGCAAACAGGG
rnacentral:rRNA from 1 species